AAAAUCUUAAUUUUAUAAAUUUUGAUGAGAUAUUAGAUAUAUAAGGAUUCCUUUCUUCUCUCUAAAUUAAUUUUAUUUGUGUUAGAGUUUAUAUAAUUGUUAAAAUUUUUAAUAAUUUACCAGUGGUUUUAUAAAGAUUAGUUAAUUUUGUGCCAGCAGCUGCGGUUAUACUAGUAAUCUUAAUUUUAGGAAAUUGUUUUAUAAGAAAAUUAUAGAUUUUUUUGAAAUAUUAAGGUGAAAUUUGAUUUUUUUUUUUUAUUAGUUUUAUAUUUAGAUCAGUUGGGGGUUAAACUAGGAUUAGAUACCCUACUAUUUAAGACUGUAGCAGAGGAUUAAAUAUAAAAUUAAAGGAUAUGGCGGCUUUUUCUUAUUAGAGGAGGUUGUAACCAUUAAUUGAUAUGACACAUUAUUUUUUACUUUUCUUAGUUAUGUAUACCGUCAUUUAAAUAAUCUCAGGGGAGAAAUUUUUAUAGUUUUAUUAAAUAAGUUAGAUCAAGGUGCAGAUAUUGAUAAGAGGUUAUUAUCUACACUAUAAAAUUAUACAUGAAUGUUUGUUGAAUCAGAUUGAAGGUGAAUUUAAUUGUAAUAGUUAUAAUUGAAUAUAAAGAAGGAGUGUACAAAUUGCCCGUCGUUCUCUUUGAGAUAAGUCGAAACAAAGUAGAACCACCUGAAGGUGGUUCUAA
rnacentral:ncRNA from 1 species